rnacentral:rRNA from 1 species
GAUGAACGCUAGCGGCAGGCCUAACACAUGCAAGUCGAGGGGCAUCAUGGCGUAGCAAUACGCUGAUGGCGACCGGCGCACGGGUGCGUAACGCGUAUGGAACCUACCCACCGCAGGGGGAUAACCCGCCGAAAGGCGGACUAAUACCCCAUGGUUCCCCGACCCUGCCUGGGGUUGGGGGUAAAGCCUACGGGCGGCGGUGGAUGGCCCUGCGUGCCAUUAGCUGGCUGGUGGGGUAACGGCCCACCAGGGCGACGAUGGCUAGGGGGUCUGAGAGGACGAUCCCCCACACUGGUACUGAGACACGGACCAGACUCCUACGGGAGGCAGCAGUGAGGAAUAUUGGUCAAUGGGCGGAAGCCUGAACCAGCCAUGCCGCGUGCAGGAUGACGGCCCUACGGGUUGUAAACUGCUUUUCCCGGGGCGAAUAACCCCCUCGCGAGGGGGAUGCCGGUACCGGGGAAGUAAGGAAGUCGGCGUAACUCCGUGCCAGCGAGCCGCGGUAAGCACGAGAGUA